rnacentral:lncRNA from 1 species
UUCCUCCUCGUCAUCGUCUUCCAGGUUUUCUGUCAAGCAAAAUCCAGACAGAGAUGAAAUAGUGCCCCUUCACCCGUUACAGACACAAAGGCCUGCCUGGGCACGGACAGCAAUGACCUGUGUAUGAGGGCAGGACACACUGAGAGAAUUGCACUGACAGCCCCAUGUGUGACUUUGAAGGAAUGGCCUGGGAUGGUGUCCUGACGCAUCAGGCAAAAUGUCCUUGAUCUGCUGGCUCCCCAUCAUGGCGUGCUCUGAGUUUAACUGGGUAAAGAUCAAAUAUCUUUUGUCUCCAGGUCAUUGGGUAGUUGUCCAGUUUCCCUCUGGAAUUCUCUAGUUCUCUCCUCCUCCUUCCACAAAGCUGGCUCCCAGUCUCAGUGACUCUAUGUCCACUCAGAACGCCCACAUAGACCCUACUCCUUUCUCUAAAAGGAGGAUAGAAAACCCCAUGACUCACCCCUCCAUACAUCCCGGGACUUCACGGGGACCUCCAAGUUGGCUUUUACAUCAUAAGAGGGAAAAAUUUUCUUGUGGAAAGUGUUCUGUUACAAAUCAACGUAUCUGCCCCAAGAUUUUCAGAUUAUAACUAAAUAAACCCCAAACAGUUAGGAGUAUGAUCCCUUUCUGAAGCACAUUCAUGAGCAUUCCCUUCUUUAGUAGUUACAGCUACCAGGCGACACAUCUUUUGACCCAUUUUACAGAUGAGGAGACAGAAAUCCAGGAAGGAGAAAUCAAAUACUCGCCUGUAGCUAUAAAAGCCAGAGCUCAGGCAAGAGCCUGAGGAGCUCUAGCUCAGUCCAGGAUUCUUUUCACUCUAACAAGCUGCCUCCUGUCACGUCCUCCUUUGUGUGCUGUGACACCAGGUGGAGGCUGCCUCCUGCCCCAAAGGGCACGGUCCCUCAGGGCGGAAGCAGGCUCUUGGAGCACUAUGAUGUCCCCCUGUGCAUUUCUCCCCUCUGCUCCCACCCAGCCAGUCGUGGUCCUGUCAUGGCUCCAAGUGCGAUGUGGACACCAGGACAGCUGGUGAAAGUGUUAUGAGGGGAGAUUCCGAGGCUCUUGUCAGCCAGGGACCUUGGAGGGGCUCAGCGCAAUCAGGGCUUCUGGCCGCCUUACCUGGGCUAAGCUUGCGGACAAGGUGCUCUGCCAGCCUGGAUCCCUCAGCCAGUUGUUCUUGGAAGCCCUGUCCCCAGUCUCUGCCAAUGUCACUGUGGGUGAGGAGGUCCCUGAGGUCCUGAUGGAGGAGGACAGAGAGCUCUCUUCCUUCCCGUGACGUCUGGCGUAUCUGGGUCAGCUUUCGUGCAUGAUCAUGAAUGAGGAAAUGGUAUUUCCUAGGCGGGAGGGAAGAGAAAUCCUCAGAGUGGAAAUUGGGUCAUGAGAGAUGAUAAGGAGUUUGAGAGAGAUUUCGGUGAGAAUAUCCCCAAAAGGCCUUCCAAGUAGAAAUCUGCUCAUUUUUGGUGGACUGCAUUUUUUCUUCUUUCCUUUUGCAUGUUACACACAGUGACCCAGUGAAAACAUGCUCCUGAGACACUGGAGACUGGAAGAGAUCUUGGAACUUUAGGCCUCCUUCUCUAAAGGUUGAGGCAAAAUAGGAAUGUUUAUUUAGUCUGGCUACUUUCCUUGUCAUGAAAUACCUGCCAACAUGCUCAGGGCCACAUGCAGAGAGCAGGUAUGGACCUGACUCUGGGUUUUGACCCUCCGGAGGAGAAGAAGGCAUCUCUGAAGGGGCAGGACGUCUCUAGGCCUGGUUACCUCACUGGGAGUGAGACAGACUCCACAUGCUGCAAAGAACACGGACGAUCAAGAUGGGGGGGAGUGGAGGAGACCAGCACAAUCAGCCAGUUUUGUGCCUCCUUGCUUCAGGAAAGAAGCUACUUUUGACCUCUGCGUCUGUUCUUUCCAGAAACCUUCUCUGCAUUUGACUUGUACAUUACCCUCCUCUGAUCCUUCACUGUUACCUGGGGGUCAGUGAUCCCAGUUGUUCUUCAGCCUCCUCUUCGUGGUUUUCUGCAAAGAAAUUGAGAAAAGUCCAUUUAGACAUGAGCUAGUUGCACUUCACCCGUUACAAAUGCAGGUGCCUCUCUCUGCCUGGAGACACGAAUUACCUCUACAUGAGUUCAGAAAGGUGUCGUGUUGUGUCUGUAAAGAAAUGGGCUGCCGUGGUAUUCUGAUGGAUCAGGCAAAGUGGCCCUGAUCUGAUGGGUCCCAGAUGGCAUGCUCUGGUGGAACUGGGCAAGGAGUUAAAAAUUGAUUUGGUUACCCAGAUCAAGAGAUGCUUCUCCAGCUUUCCUAGGGGCUCCUCCCACUCUCUCCUCCCUCCUGCCACAAGGCUGGUUUCCAAGCUCAGUGACUCUGCAUCUCAUCAUGCCUUUCACAGAGAACCUCCUCCUUCUCUCAGGAGAUGAAAAACAAUUCUGUCCCACGAGUCUCACAUGACUUGGUCCUUCGUGGGGACUUCCACGUCUGCUUCUACCGUUCACCAGGAAAAUUCUCUCCUCGUUAAGUGCUAAGUAUUCUAGUGUAAACCCGUAUCCCACUACCAGAUUCUACCAUACCCAGUACUGAAAUCAACCCCAGUGAGUGACCCUAGCAUUGUGAAAGUACGCUCAUAGGCCUUCCCUAUUGGAAUGCUACAGCUACCAUGCAACACAUGUGUUAAUCACGUUAGAGAUUAAGAAACUGAGAUCCAGGAAGGAUACAUCUGUCCCACACCCACUGUUAGAAAAGACAGAACUCAGGCUGGAGCCUGGGAACGUCCACGCUUAGCUCAGGGCCCUUUUCAGCCGAACUAGCUGCCUCCUAUCAUGUCUGCCUUUCUGUGCUCUAAAACUGGGUGGAGGCUGCCCCCUGUCCCAAGGGCCAUGGCAAAUGAGGGAGGAAGCAGGCACUCGGAACACUAUCACCUCCACCUUGUACAUUUCUCCUCUCUGUCCUCCCACCCAGCUGCUCCUGGUCCUGUCAUGACCCCAAGUGCUGAUGUGGAAACCAGGACAGAUGGCAAAAACAUUAUGAGGGGAGAAGUGGAGGCUCUUGUGAGCCGGGGACCUUGGAGGGCUCAGUGCAAUCAGGGCCUGUGGCCGCCUUACCUGGGCCGAGCUUGCUGCCAAGGGCCUGGGACAGCCUGCAUCCCUCAGCCAAUUGCUCUUGGAAGGCCUGCCCCCGGAGGUUGUUAAGGUCACUGCGGCCCAGUAGCUCCUUGAGGUUCUGAUUAAGGAGGACCGAUAGCUCUCUUCCUUCCCGUGUCUUUAGGCAUAACUGGGUCAGCUCUCGUGCCUGAACUCGAAUUAGAAAAUCAAACUCCCUAUGGUGGGUUAGAAGGGAAAAUGUAUAAUUGGAAUUGAGUCAAAGGUUCUUAGGACCUCCACAGAGGUUUCUAUGAGAACAUCCCCCAUUUGCCUUCAAAACAGAAUUUUCAGACAUGUUUGGCAAAAUGCCUAAAUAGUUUUUGAAAGCUCCAUCAGCGGCCAGGGCAAUACAAGCUCCUGAGGGAUUGCAGACUCCAGCGUUCUUUGUACCUUCUAGGCCACCUUCUCUCAGUGUCUAACAUAAUACCACUUUCGGGGGUCUAGUUACCUUCCCUGCUGUGAAAUACCUGCCAACGACCUAAGAUGAACUCUGCAGAAAGCGGAUGUGAAUCUCACCCUGCCUUUAACCCACCAUCCAUGAGAGGACACGUGAUGUCCGGGAGUACAGGAAAUCCAUGAGAGUAGUUGGUUCACCUUGGUUCAGACUAACUCUACAAGUACCAGAAGGAGACUGCACAGCCCCAUUCAGAGGGCUAUGUCGUUGUUGGUUGAGGGAAUGACAGGACUGCAAUCUGCAGGUUUGGGUGACCAUCGCAUCACAGAUGUGGUCACCUUUGUGCUCCUUGAUCUUUCUAGGACCCUUUCCAUACUUUACCUGUCCUUUACCCUCCCCUGGUCGUUCAUUUUGGACAGUGGUUCUCUCUCUUCCACAUACUCCUCGUCUUCAUGACUUUCUGCAGACAAAUUCAGAAACGUCUAGUCAGACAUCGACCCGGCCCUGGUAGAUCAUCACCCCCAUGUCCUCUGCCCUGAGUCGAGCAAACAGUUAAAUACGUCUAUUUUCACCAAAGAUCACAGGGAACAUGUCAGCAGCCUUCAAGAGCUGUUGCUGAAAGAGUCAGCUUGGCCCCAGCAGACACCCUGGUGUUUGGUGAGAUAGGUGGGAUUGUACACCAAGACGAGACUGAUGGAUGGAAUCCAUACACCCCACGGAGGAAAGCGUAUUUGGCGCUUUCCAGAGGCCAGGAUCCUGGGUGAUUCAUAGAGGUGGGGCCACCAGGGCCCAUGCCUUGAUUUCAGCGAAAACUCCAGACAUGGAAAGACAGAGGUAUCUUUGUCUCGUUCCUCAGCAGACUGUUUAGCAAAGACAAGAUAUCUCAGAGGUGAGAGAGACGAGAGUCCAGAGCUGAGGAACCAUGGUAACAACAUCUCCAAAGAGAUAGGCAAGACUACCACCCUACUUGGACAGUCAUUAAUGCUCAGUUCAGGAACUCAAUUAGGAAGAAAAUUACAGGAGAGAUCAGAGGGCCCAUCUUUCUAGAAAGAGCUCAUGGAGACUCGUGUUGAGCAGGAGCAUCAGUGGUGGCUGGAAGCGUGUUAUGGUUUCUUCAAUCUCCCCACUCUGGUUCACCUGGUGUUCACCAGCCUGUGCUUGGCAUUGGGUCCCAGGGUGACAGAGAUUUGGCCUGGGACUCGGAAGAGUGUUGAACUACCUGACCCACCUGAUGUGUGUGCUUAAAACUGAGUCCUAGAUUCUGAUUGAAACCAAGAUGGGUCUCCAAGGCCUGCCAUCAAAGAGACAUUUGUGUACCCGGACAGAGCUCCCAGCUGAGCCCAGAGGCACAAAGAUAACAGAAUAUUAAACGAGGAAAGACUGGACACCGCAACUUCCCCACUGGUUCUGAUUGGAAGACUAAGGGAGAGGUCACAGAAGAUCAAUACAACAAAGUUCUCUUCCCUGAACCUGGGCAAAGAGUUCAACAUAUUCUUCCCGAGGUCAUGAGGAGCUCAUCUAGUUGCUUUCUGGAAAGGCUGUGGCAAGAUUCAGCUCUUGUUCCAUCAGAUAUGCUGGCUGCUGUUGGUUUGGAGGAAGUUAUACACCGAGACUAGACUGAUGGAUGGAAUUUAAUCACUCCUAAAGAGGAAAGAAUCUAUGGUGCCACCUGGAGAACAGGAUUCUUGCUGUUCAAAGUGGUGGAGGGUGCCAGGGUUCACACCACGCCCUGGGUGGUAAACUUCCAGACACAUUCAAGAGGUGUUUAUCUUUUGACGCUUAGAUGGCUCCCUACUGAGGAUAAACCAACUUAGAGGAGACAGAGACUGCUGUUUGCAGUGGAGCGGGCAUGGCAACGGGGAUGACAGAGAUUUGGCCUGGGACUCGGAAGAGUGUUGAACUACCUGACCCACCUGAUGUGUGUGCUUAAAACUGAGUCCUAGAUUCUGAUUCAAACCAAGUUACGUCUCCAGGGCCAGACUGAAGAGAUGGCAUAUCUUGACCCGGACAGGGACGUGGGGAACAUGAAUAUGGACACUACCUGGGAGACCUGUUGGAGCUUUCUUCUCCUGUUGAUGGGAGUACUCAGUAGCUGCAACCAGAGCAGAGAAGUCUUCGUGCUCCUCAGACAAGAAAACAUGGUUGCUGGUAGGCUCGUGGGAACCAGUCGGACACAGUUUCCCUGAUGGCAUGCUCUACGUGAAACUGGAAAAAAUGUUAGACAUGUCUUUUGUUCCCAAGAUCACCAUGUACUUGUCCAGAUUCCCUCUGGACUUCUACAACUUGCAUUUCUCCUCUCUGUUCCCACCCUGCCAGUGCUGCUCCUGUGAUGGCCCCAAAUGGGACAUGGAAACCAGAACAACUGGUUAAAAAAAAAAAUCCUCGUGAGUGGAAUCUCUUGGAGCAGCUCA